ACUGGCCGCGGAAACUCAGGUGGGAGCGAAGGCCCAGAGGUCCCGCGCAGGUUGGUGAGCGUCUGCGCAGCGCUAGCUUUCGCGAGCUGGCCUGGGGAGAGUACAGCUGCCAGGAACUGGACCAGCAGCAUUGACAGCACCUGGGCGCCUGUUAGAAAUGCAGGACCUCAAGCUCCAGCUCAGAAUCAGACUCUGCAUUUUAAGAAGAUCCCAGGGCAAUUCAUAUACACAAUGGUUUUGCCAUAUGAAGCUGAAAAUGGCAGAAGAGGAGGACUAUAUGUCUGAUUCCUUCAUUAAUGUCCAAGAAGAUAUCAGACCAGGCUUGCCAAUGCUGAGGCAAAUCCGAGAAGCCCAUCGAAAAGAAGAAAAGCAACAGGAAGCUAAUUUGAAAAAUAAGCGGAAGAGUUUAAAGGAAGAAGAACAAGAGAGACGUGACAUUGGACUGAAGAAUGCACUAGGCUGUGAAAACAAAGGGUUUGCUUUGCUCCAGAAGAUGGGAUAUAAAAGUGGUCAGGCCCUCGGCAAAAGUGGAGACGGUAUUGUUGAACCAAUUCCUCUUAAUGUCAAAACAGGAAAAAGUGGCAUUGGUCAUGAGGCAUUACUAAAACGGAAAGCAGAGGAAAAAUUGGAAAGCUACAGAAGAAAGAUUCACAUGAAAAAAGAAGUUGAAGAAAGAGCUGCAGAACAGUUUCGAAUGCGACUUAAAAAUAAGCAAGAUGAAAUGAAGCUAGAAGGAGAUCUUAGAAGAAGCCAGAGAGCCUGUCAACAGUUGGAUACUCAGAAGAAUAUUCAGGUUCCCAGGGAGGCAUGGUACUGGUUGAGGCUUGAAGAGGAAACUGAAGAAGAGGAAGAGGAAGAAAAAGAACAAGAUGAAGAUGAAUAUAAGAGUGAAGACUUAAGUGUACUGGAAAAAUUACAAAUAUUGACUAGUUAUUUAAGAGAAGAACAUCUGUAUUGUAUUUGGUGUGGAACAGCCUAUGAAGAUAAAGAAGACCUGUCUUCAAAUUGCCCAGGACCAACUUCUGCAGAUCAUGACUAAGAUUAUUCUCAAUAAAGUAGAAGCUUGGCAAAUGUUAUUGUUUCCUAGACAGUUGAGCAGUUAGAAUUUCCAAAUUUUUGAUACCAGUAAAGAAAGAGGGCCUUUAUAUGUUUCAUUGUUUUUAUACAUUAGAAGUACUUUGUACUUUAGAAUAUAAUUGUUCACUGGCUUCAAAAACAUAAUGGAAAGCCAUUUCAGAACACAAGUAUUAUAGACAUGGGCAAUUACAAUUUAUGACUCUUUUGUGACGUUUAUGGAAUUUAAGGACACCAACUCUCUUACUCACUUUGGAACAAAUUGAGAAAUAAGACAUAGGAGUUAGAGAUCAAAAUAUCAGCUUUAUUAUCAAUGAAAUAAAGAGCUAGUUGACUUGUUCUCCAGUCAUGCUCCCUGCGAGAUCUCCCUGGUUAGAGAGAACUGCCGACCUUGCCUCGGAGGGACAGAGCCCAUCUUUGCAUUAGGAGACCAUUAGCUUUCAAGCCAACAAACCAACAUUCAUUUGGACAGACCCAACGCCAUGUGGAUAAUUUCAGACAGAAUGGAGUUAGGAACUGGCUUCCUUUUCUCCUCUUACUGACUGUAGGGCAACCUGCCCAGUGGCCUAGAGUAUUUUGAAUAUGUCUGUGAACAAAUAUGCUGUGAAUGUAGGAAUAACCUUGAUGGAACCCAUAAGUCCACCAGAGUUGUGGUCUGCAUUUCCAGGCCAGAGGCCAGAAAUUUACUUGUUGUCAUUUACUUUUGUUUAUAUUGUACUAUGUUUAUUUUCAGAGUCCUAUCUAGAAUUUCUAAAAUGUUUCAUUUUCCUACUUAUAAACCCAAAAUACUGGAGCUUUUAAAAUUCAAAAUAAAUAGACUUUAAUAUACUAAAUUGGUUUACCAUA